UACGAAGGGGGCUAGCGUUGUCCGGAAUUACUGGGCGUAAAGCGAGUGCAGGUGGUUGUCCAAGUUGGAUGUGAAAGCCUUGAGCUCAACUCAAGAAAUGCAUUCAGGACUGGGCGGCUAGAGGACCGGAGAGGAUAGUGGAAUUCCCAGUGUAGUGGUGAAAUACGUAGAGAUUGGGAAGAACACCAGUGGCGAAGGCGGCUAUCUGGACGGUUUCUGACACUAAGACUCGAAAGCGUGGGGAGCAAACAGG
rnacentral:rRNA from 1 species